CUAUAACUACAACAACCACAACACCUGCAACUACCACAACUACUAGAACCACAAUGUCUACAACUACCAUUACACUUACAACUACUUCAACAACUACAGCUACCACACAAAAUACAACUACCACAAGAACUACAACUACCACUUCACCCACAACUCCAGCACUCACAUCUGCUACUACUACAACCCGAGAUCCUACAACAACAUCUUCAACCGUCAAGACAGAUCAUGGAAGCCGUAGUGACCCAACAGUGAACAACACAACAACUGUGAUUGACAAACACAGCAGCAGCAGCAGCGAUGGGAGCAGUGACUGGGUACCUGGAUGGGGCAUUGCCCUCUUAGUAUUGGCUGCUGCCAUCUUGUUGCUACUCAUAAUCAUCUUUAUCAUGCUGUUGGUCCAAUGGUGUUGUGUGACAACAGAAAGCAGUCAAAUGGACACUACAGAGGAUCCAUAUGACAAUGAAAAGAAACAACCGCCUCAGGGCCCUUUGCCUGUAUACUCACCUCAAACCCCAGUGACACAGAAACCGGGGUCUACCCCUAUCAUCAUUGGGGACACACCCAAGAAGAACAGAACAGGGUUCUAUACAGUAAAUCCCUGAAAUGAUCUGGAUGAAUGGGAGCCAGCAAGCAACAGCCAGACUGCAGUGAAGAACCACGAACUCCAUCAACAUGGAUGAACAAUUAUCAACAGAUGUUAUUUAUUGCACCGUUUUUCAACAGAAAGCUGACAUAUUAAAGGAAUUACAGUUUUCCUCAGUUGUUUACACACCAAUACUUGUACUUGUACAACCUGUAACUCAUUUACUAAAACCUGAACGCAUAUGUCAGAACUGGCCAGAGCCAAACAGAAAGCUUUUUGUUUUGUCUAAGUCUAUAACUCAGUGCUUGUUGGGAUGUAUACAGCAUAUUUGUGUUUCUAUAUUUAAGUUUAAACAUUGUACAAACAUAUUUUACAACAGAUACUGUACAUACAUAGUAAGUGUAACAUUUAACAUAUAAAAGGCAUAAGUCCUAAGUUCUAGUGCUUUACAUUGAGCACACCAUUGUUCAACUGGUUUUUAUACAUGUCUGUUCAUAUGUGUGUGUGUGUUGAACACAAAAUACCAUUUAAAGAAGACAUAACAUUGUUUAGAAUGCAAUGUUUCAUCUUGCAGAAGAAGCAGAGUUUUGUGUUUUUGGAUUUGUGUGAAGAGUUUUGAGAAUAUGAAGCAUUCUGUUAGAAAAUGUGUAAACAAUUGAGAAAAUAUUAUAAAAAGAGAUCACAAAUGCUAAUAUAUAUAAUGAAAACAUUUCUCUGCAUAACAAUUAUUCAACACAAGCCAGUGAUGAAUAGCUGAUAUGUUUUUCUUUAAUAUUUCCCUGCAUGAUUUUAGGAACAUUAAUUCACACAAUAAAUUCAGAAUUGUUACCAUAUUUGUUAAGCAUGUCAAAUGUUUGUUGUAUGUUAUAUAUUGAAAUAUUAAAUCUGUCUCAAUAUGAUUAAAGUACCAUGCUGAUGA